rnacentral:tRNA from 1 species
GGUAAGGCGGGGGACUGCAAAUCCUUUUUCCCCAGUUCAAAUCCGGGUGUCGCCUAAUCACCAAA